AGCCGGCGUGACCGCCUGGGACAGGAAGGAGCGCGCUUGGCACCGACACCGCGGCCUUGCUCAUGCUGCACAAGUUCGAGUCCUGGCCAUGGAGCGAAGGCCGGGGCACGGGACGAGACCUAGUUGGGCUGCAGAGACCUGCCUCAGGGCGUCCCCGCGGGAAUACAAGCUCCAUGAGCACAGGGACCUUGUCUGCAUCGCUUGAAGUGGUGUGGCCAGGGCCUUGGCGGGUGCUGGGGACACAGGAGAAACUCAGUGGGCACUUGUUACCUGGGCAGGCUUGCUGGCCCCUGGGGGAGACAG